UCCAGACGAAAAUAGAUCUCCCCCCAUCGUCUCACUGGCCGACCUUGACCCCAUAUUUUGGGGUCAUAUCUAGUAUUCAGAGUUUGCCUCGAUUUGGUGUCUGACUCUAACUGGGGUUCGCGGUGGUGGAGGAACCAGAUCGGAAAAAGGUGGAAUUCUCAGCUAGCUGGACUUUGCCAGUUGAUGAGCACCCCCAACAAAUGGCAGUCAACAAUCUGAUCACUGUGGAAGCCCAGAGUUAGUUAACAAGGUCAGAGUUCGGAGUUGAUGGACAUGUGAAUUGGAGGAGGGAAAGGCAUAUCUAGAUGAAAUGGACCCGCAACAAAUGAAAGUUUAAGAACCCACUGUGGAAGAGAAGCAGACCUGUGACCGUGAAAGAAAGAAAUCUGAAGUUGUAUUUUUUUAUUUCCGAAUUUUUCGGUGCAUGGCGUAUGCCUGCAAAACAGCGCGGCAGGCGCAUCGUGCAUGCGUGUUAUACUAGUGCUCAUAAGAGAAAGUUUUUUUUAUCUCUUAUCAGAGAUCUAAACAGCAAAGAUGAGGUAUGAAGUGAAUUAUGCAUCGUGGGUAUUAAUUGGCUUGAGAUGCCAAUUCUUCCACCAUUUGUUUCCCUCUCUAACAAUAAGGUUCAGAAUAGAAAGAAAAGGGAAAAACUGACUUGAUUUGAGUUUGUAAUUCAUUAGAUAUGGUGUUGAUCUCUAAUAUAUACAGUAUUAGAUCAACUUUACAUAGGUCAUUAUCUUAUUAUACUAAAGGGAAAUCGAAAAAAACGUGCAAUAGGAACUGCUAUAAUUUUUUA